rnacentral:rRNA from 1 species
AACGCUAGCUACAGGCUUAACACAUGCAAGUCGCGGGGUAACGACGGAGAAAGCUUGCUUUUUCCGGGCGACGACCGGCGCACGGGUGAGUAACGCGUAUCCAACCUGCCCUAUACAAAGGCACAGCCCGGCGAAAGUCGGAUUAAUGCCUUAUGAAGUGAGAAGAAGACAUCUGAUUUUCACUAAAGCUGAGGCGGUAUAGGAUGGGGAUGCGUCCGAUUAGGUAGACGGCGGGGUAACGGCCCACCGUGCCGACGAUCGGUAGGGGUUCUGAGAGGAAGGUCCCCCACACUGGAACUGAGACACGGUCCAGACUCCUACGGGAGGCAGCAGUGAGGAAUAUUGGUCAAUGGGCGAUAGCCUGAACCAGCCAAGUAGCGUGAGGGAAGACGGCCCUAUGGGUUGUAAACCUCUUUAGUCCGGGAAUAAAGUGGGCGACGUGUCGCCUAUUGCAUGUACCGGAAGAAUAAGGACCGGCUAAUUCCGUGCCAGCAGCCGCGGUAAUACGGAAGGUCCGGGCGUUAUCCGGAUUUAUUGGGUUUAAAGGGAGCGCAGGCGGCCUGAUAAGCGGGCAGUGAAAGACGGUGGCUCAACCAUCGAGGUGCUGUCCGAACUGUCGGACUUGAGUACGUGCGAGGCAGGCGGAAUUCGUGGUGUAGCGGUGAAAUGCUUAGAUAUCACGAAGAACCCCGAUUGCGAAGGCAGCUUGCCAGUGCGCCACUGACGCUAAAGCUCGAAAGUGCGGGUAUCGAACAGGAUUAGAUACCCUGGUAGUCCGCACGGUAAACGAUGGAUGCUCGCUGUUCGU